UGGGUUUGAUCCUGGCUCAGGGUUAAGGCUAUACUUAGGCUUAACACAUGCGAGUGCUUGCAUUUUUGCAAGUGCAAACGGGUGAGGAAAUACCACAAGAUCACUGCAUAAUAGGAUACCUGAAAAAUCUUAAAUGUUUUCAAAGUUCUCAACCUAUGAGAUGUACUUGUGGAAGAUUAGGUUGUUGGUGUGAUAGUGCGCACCAUGCCUACGAUCUUUAGCUGGUCUGAGAGGAUGAUCAGCCACACUGGGACUGAGACAAGGCCCAGGCUUCUUUUGAAGCCAGCAGUGAGGAAUAUUGGACAAUGCACAAGAUUGCGAUCCAGCCAUAAGUAGGGAAGGAUUGAAGACUCCUUGAGGUUGUAAACUUCUACAGCAUGCAUCAAAAUGACAUAUGCAUGUGGAUUAGCUCCGGCCAACUUCGUGCCAGCAGCCGCGGUUAGACGAUGGGAGCGAGCCUUAUCCGUAAUGACUGGGCGUAAAGCGUUCGUAGAUGGUUAAAAAUUCUUGAUUACAAAAGCCUUGCUUUUAAGAGUUGAAGGUUUAUCAAAAGAGUUUAACUGGAGGAAAAAAGAGGAUGCUUGAAUUUUGCAAGGAGGGAUGGUAUCCAGAGAGCUGCAAAGGAAGACCAUUUGGCAAUGGCGGGUAUCUGGUUUUUUUGCUAACAUUGGGGAACGAAAGCGUGGGGAGCAAACAGGAUUAGAGACCCUGGUAGUCCACGCCCUCAAAUCUGGGUGCUAAGGGAUAAAAUUUAUUUAUGCAGAUAAAGCUAAGGCGUGAAGCACCCCGCCGGAGUAGUACGACCGCAAGGUUGAAACUCAAAGGAAUUGACGGGGGUCUAUACAAGUGGUGGAACAUGUGGUUUAAUGCGAUAAUACGCGCCCAACCUUACCAGUUCUUGAAUGAGUGCGGAGUAAUUUCCGUACAACAGGUGUUGCAUGGCUGUCGUCAGCUCGUGUUGUAAGAUGUUUGGUUAAGUCCCUUAACGAGCGCAACCUCUAUAUGCGUUUAAAUAGGUCUUCCUAUAACUGCUUAAACUGCCCACAAUAAAUGGGAGGAAGGUGGAGAUGACGCCAAGUCCUUAUGGCCCCUAUGAACUGGGCUACACACGUGUUACAAUGGGAAAAACAAAGAGAAAUGCCGAAAGAAGUCAAGCUUUAACUUUUCCCAAUGUUCGGAUUGAAUGCUGCAACUUGCAAUCAUGAAGGUGGAAUCACUAGUAAUCGUGGAUCAGGAUGCCACGGUGAAUUUGUACCUGGACCUUGUACACACCGCCCGUCACAUGCUGGGAGUGCAUUUGGCUAGAAGGAUGAGAACACGACACCCAAAAAGUUUUUUGGUGUUGUCCUCCUACGACGGACAGAUGUAUAACUGGGAUGAAGUCGUAACAAGGUAGUCGUACGGGUACGUGCGGCUG
rnacentral:rRNA from 1 species